AUUGAACGCUAGCGGCAGGCCUAACACAAGCAAGUCGGGCGAGCGGAGGACGGGUGAGGAAUGUAUGGGGAUCUGCCUGAUGGAUGGGGAUAACAACUGGAAACGGUAGCUAAUACCGCAUACCAUCAGAUGAACCCAUAUGGGCUUGGCUUGUAGGUAAGGUCACGGCUUACAUAGGCGACGAUCCCUAGCUGGUCUGAGAGGAUGAUCAGCCACACUGGGACUGAGACACGGCCCAGACUCCUACGGGAGGCAGCAGUUGGGAAUAUUGCACAAUGGGCGCAAGCCUGAUGCAGCCAUGCCGCGUGUAUGAAGAAGGCCUUCGGGUUGUAAAGUACUUUCAGUCGGGAGGCGUUACCGACAGAAGAAGCACCGGCUAACUCCGUGCCAGCAGCCGCGGUAAUUC
rnacentral:rRNA from 1 species